AUACGUAGGGGGCGAGCGUUGUCCGGAAUUACUGGGCGUAAAGGGUGCGUAGGCGGCCCUUUAAGUCAGAUGUGAAAGCCCGCAGCUUAACUGCGGAAUUGCAUUUGAAACUGGAGGGCUUGAGUGUCGGAGAGGGUAGUGGAAUUCCCAGUGUAGCGGUGAAAUGCGUAGAUAUUGGGAGGAACACCAGUGGCGAAGGCGACUGCCUGGACGAUAACUGACGCUGAGGCACGAAAGCUAGGGGAGCAAACAGGAUUAGAUACCCUGGUAGUCCUAGCCGUAAACGAUGGAUACUAGGUGUAGGAGGUAUCGACCCCUUCUGUGCCGGAGUUAACACAAUAAGUAUCCCACCUGGGGAGUACGGCCGCAAGGCUGAA
rnacentral:rRNA from 1 species